rnacentral:rRNA from 1 species
UACGUAGGGUGCGAGCGUUAAUCGGAAUUACUGGGCGUAAAGCGCGCGUAGGUGGCCUCGUAAGUCCGCUGUGAAAGUCAAAGGCUCAACCUUUGAAAGCCGGUGGAUACUGUGAGGCUAGAGUACGGAAGAGGCGAGUGGAAUUCCUGGUGUAGCGGUGGAAUGCGCAGAUAUCAGGAGGAACACCAAUAGCGAAGGCAGCUCGCUGGGACGUUACUGACACUGAGGCGCGAAAGCGUGGGGAGCGAACAGG